rfam:Triticum urartu cultivar G1812 contig25540, whole genome shotgun sequence.
CUUGUACUCCCUUCGUUCGAAAUUACUUGUCGCAGAAAUGGAUGUCUCUAGACGUAUUUUAAUUCUAGAUACAUCCAUUUCUAAGACAAGUAAUUCCGAACGAAGGGAGUACAUG